rnacentral:rRNA from 1 species
AUUGAACGCUGGCGGCAUGCCUUACACAUGCAAGUCGAACGGCAGCACGGGUGCUUGCACCUGGUGGCGAGUGGCGAACGGGUGAGUAAUACAUCGGAACAUGUCCUGUAGUGGGGGAUAGCCCGGCGAAAGCCGGAUUAAUACCGCAUACGAUCUACGGAUGAAAGCGGGGGACCUUCGGGCCUCGCGCUAUAGGGUUGGCCGAUGGCUGAUUAGCUAGUUGGUGGGGUAAGGGCCUACCAAGGCGACGGUCAGUAGCUGGUCUGAGAGGAGGACCAGCCACACUGGGACUAGAACACGGCCCAGACUCCGACGGGAGGCAGCAGUGGGGAAUUUUGGACAAUGGGCGAAAGCCUGAUCCAGCAAUGCCGCGUGUGUGAAGAAGGCCUUCGGGUUGUAAAGCACUUUUGUCCGGAAAGAAAUCCUUGGCCCUAAUACGGUCGGGGGAUGACGGUACCGGAAGAAUAAGCACCGGCUAACUACGUG